rnacentral:rRNA from 1 species
GUAGUCCACGCCGUAAACGAUGAUAACUCGUUGCAGGCGAUACACAGUCUGUGACUUAGCGAAAGCGUUAAGUUAUCCACCUGGGGAGUACGUUCGCAAGAAUGAAACUCAAAGGAAUUGACGGGGGCCCGCACAAGCGGAGGAACAUGUGGUUUAAUUCGAUGAUACGCGAGGAACCUUACCCGGGCUUGAAAGUUAUUGACAGGAGUGGAAACACUCUCUUCCUUCGGGACAAGAAACUAGGUGCUGCAUGGUUGUCGUCAGCUCGUGCCGUGAGGUGUCGGGUUAAGUCCCAUAACGAGCGCAACCCCUACUGUUAGUUGCCAUCGGGUGAUGCCGGGAACUCUAACAGGACUGCCGGUGUAAGCCGAGA